AGAUGGGAGCUUGCUCCCUGAUGUUAGCGGCGGACGGGUGAGUAACACGUGGGUAACCUGCCUGUAAGACUGGGAUAACUCCGGGAAACCGGGGCUAAUACCGGAUGGUUGUUUGAACCGCAUGGUUCAGACAUAAAAGGUGGCUUCGGCUACCACUUACAGAUGGACCCGCGGCGCAUUAGCUAGUUGGUGAGGUAACGGCUCACCAAGGCAACGAUGCGUAGCCGACCUGAGAGGGUGAUCGGCCACACUGGGACUGAGACACGGCCCAGACUCCUACGGGAGGCAGCAGUAGGGAAUCUUCCGCAAUGGACGAAAGUCUGACGGAGCAACGCCGCGUGAGUGAUGAAGGUUUUCGGAUCGUAAAGCUCUGUUGUUAGGGAAGAACAAGUGCCGUUCAAAUAGGGCGGCACCUUGACGGUACCUAACCAGAAAGCCACGGCUAACUACGUGCCAGCAGCCGCGGUAAUACGUAGGUGGCAAGCGUUGUCCGGAAUUAUUGGGCGUAAAGGGCUCGCAGGCGGUUUCUUAAGUCUGAUGUGAAAGCCCCCGGCUCAACCGGGGAGGGUCAUUGGAAACUGGGGAACUUGAGUGCAGAAGAGGAGAGUGGAAUUCCACGUGUAGCGGUGAAAUGCGUAGAGAUGUGGAGGAACACCAGUGGCGAAGGCGACUCUCUGGUCUGUAACUGACGCUGAGGAGCGAAAGCGUGGGGAGCGAACAGGAUUAGAUACCCUGGUAGUCCACGCCGUAAACGAUGAGUGCUAAGUGUUAGGGGGUUUCCGCCCCUUAGUGCUGCAGCUAACGCAUUAAGCACUCCGCCUGGGGAGUACGGUCGCAAGACUGAAACUCAAAGGAAUUGACGGGGGCCCGCACAAGCGGUGGAGCAUGUGGUUUAAUUCGAAGCAACGCGAAGAACCUUACCAGGUCUUGACAUCCUCUGACAAUCCUAGAGAUAGGACGUCCCCUUCGGGGGCAGAGUGACAGGUGGUGCAUGGUUGUCGUCAGCUCGUGUCGUGAGAUGUUGGGUUAAGUCCCGCAACGAGCGCAACCCUUGAUCUUAGUUGCCAGCAUUCAGUUGGGCACUCUAAGGUGACUGCCGGUGACAAACCGGAGGAAGGUGGGGAUGACGUCAAAUCAUCAUGCCCCUUAUGACCUGGGCUACACACGUGCUACAAUGGRCAGAACAAAGGGCAGCGAAACCGCGAGGUUAAGCCAAUCCCACAAAUCUGUUCUCAGUUCGGAUCGCAGUCUGCAACUCGACUGCGUGAAGCUGGAAUCGCUAGUAAUCGCGGAUCCAGCNAUGCCGCGGUGAAUACGUUCCCGGGCCUUGUACAACAACAC
rnacentral:rRNA from 1 species